ACGCGGUGAAUACGUUCCCGGGCCUUGUACACACCGCCCGUCAAGCCAUGGAAGUUGGGGGUACCUAAAUAUGUAACCGCAAGGAGCGUCCUAGGGUAAAACCGAUAACUGGGGCUUAA
rnacentral:rRNA from 1 species